rnacentral:rRNA from 1 species
GAGCUCCUACGGGAGGCAGGCAGUGGGGAAUAUUGGCACAAUGGGGGAAACCCUGAUGCAGCGACGCCGCGUGGAGGAAGAAGGUCUUCGGAUUGUAAACUCCUGUUGUUGGGGAAGAUAAUGACGGUACCCAACAAGGAAGUGACGGCUAACUACGUGC